CACUGAUUGCUUUUGCUAAACAGUCUCCUGUGUGUUUGCAGUUCCAGAGGCUGCUCUCAACAUGGGGUUUGUUGCUGGUGGUGUGCUGGCUGCUCUGGGUCUGAUCAUCGCAGUGAUCAUAGGAGCUCUCAUCUGGAAGAAAAGAGCAUCAGGUGCCAGGAGCCCUGACUACACACCAGCACAGACAAAGGAACAAAGUGAUGCUUCAUCCAACUCAUCCAACUCCACCAACGAUGAUAGGUGUGACCCCAUUGCAGAGAAGCUGAUGACACAGACAGAAUAAACGACUCAGCUGAGGCUUCAUCUUUU